rnacentral:rRNA from 1 species
AACGAACGCUGGCGGCAUGCCUAACACAUGCAAGUCGAACGAGACCUUCGGGUCUAGUGGCGCACGGGUGCGUAACGCGUGGGAACCUGCCCUUAGGUUCGGAACAACUCCCCGAAAGGGGUGCUAAUACCGGAUAAUGUCUUCGGACCAAAGAUUUAUCGCCUUUGGAUGGGCCCGCGUUGGAUUAGCUAGUUGGUAGGGUAAAAGCCUACCAAGGCGACGAUCCAUAGCUGGUCUGAGAGGAUGAUCAGCCACACUGGGACUGAGACACGGCCCAGACUCCUACGGGAGGCAGCAGUGGGGAAUAUUGGACAAUGGGCGAAAGCCUGAUCCAGCAAUGCCGCGUGAGUGAUGAAGGCCUUAGGGUUGUAAAGCUCUUUUACACGGGAUGAUAAUGACAGUACCGGGAGAAUAAGCUCCGGCUAACUCCGUG